GCCGGGCGCGGUGGCGCGCGCCUGUAGUCCCAGCUACUCGGGAGGCUGAGGCAGGAGGAUCGCUUGAGUCCAGGAGUUCUGGGCUGUAGUGCGCUAUGCCGAUCGGGUGUCCGCACUAAGUUCGGCAUCAAUAUGGUGACCUCCCGGGAGCGGGGGACCACCAGGUUGCCUAAGGAGGGGUGAACCGGCCCAGGUCGGAAACGGAGCAGGUCAAAACUCCCGUGCUGAUCAGUAGUGGGAUCGCGCCUGUGAAUAGCCACUGCACUCCAGCCUGGGCAACAUAGCGAGACCCCGUCUCU
rnacentral:SRP_RNA from 1 species